CAGCCGCCACGGUAAUACGUAGGUGGCAAGCGUUGUCCGGAAUUAUUGGGCGUAAAGGGCUCGCAGGCGGUUUCUUAAGUCUGAUGUGAAAGCCCCCGGCUCAACCGGGGAGGGUCAUUGGAAACUGGGAAACUUGAGUGCAGAAGAGGAGAGUGGAAUUCCACGUGUAGCGGUGAAAUGCGUAGAGAUGUGGAGGAACACCAGUGGCGAAGGCGACUCUCUGGUCUGUAACUGACGCUGAGGAGCGAAAGCGUGGGGAGCGAACAGGAUUAGAUACCCCUGUAGUCUCUGUCUCUUAUAC
rnacentral:rRNA from 1 species